rnacentral:rRNA from 1 species
AUUGAACGCUGGCGGCAGGCCUAACACAUGCAAGUCGAACGGUAACAGGAAACAGCUCGCUGUUUCGCUGACGAGUGGCGGACGGGUGAGUAAUGUCUGGGAAACUGCCUGAUGGAGGGGGAUAACUACUGGAAACGGUAGCUAAUACCGCAUAACGUCGCAAGACCAAAGAGGGGGACCUUCGGGCCUCUUGCCAUCGGAUGUGCCCAGAUGGGAUUAGCUAGUAGGUGGGGUAACGGCUCACCUAGGCGACGAUCCCUAGCUGGUCUGAGGGGAUGACCAGCCACACUGGAACUGAGGCACGGUCCGGACUCCUACGGGAGGCAGCAGUGGGGAAUAUUGCACAAUGGGCGCAAGCCUGAUGCAGCCAUGCCGCGUGUAUGAAGAAGGCCUUCGGGUUGUAAAGUACUUUCAGCGGGGAGGAAGGGAGUAAAGUUAAUACCUUUGCUCAUUGACGUUACCCGCAGAAGAAGCACCGGCUAACUCCGUGCCAGCCGCCGCCGUAA